rnacentral:rRNA from 1 species
AUUGAACGCUGGCGGCAUGCUUUACACAUGCAAGUCGAACGGUAACAGGCCGCAAGGUGCUGACGAGUGGCGAACGGGUGAGUAAUGCAUCGGAACGUGCCCAGUCGUGGGGGAUAACGCAGCGAAAGCUGCGCUAAUACCGCAUACGAUCUAUGGAUGAAAGCGGGGGACCGUAAGGCCUCGCGCGAUUGGAGCGGCCGAUGUCAGAUUAGGUAGUUGGUGGGGUAAAGGCUCACCAAGCCAACGAUCUGUAGCUGGUCUGAGAGGACGACCAGCCAAACUGGGACUGAGACACGGCCCAGACUCCUACGGGAGGCAGCAGUGGGAAUUUUGGACAAUGGGCGCAAGCCUGAUCCAGCAAUGCCGCGUGCAGGAAGAAGGCCUUCGGGUUGUAAACUGCUUUUGUCAGGGAAGAAAUCCUCUGGGUUAAUACCUCGGGGGGAUGACGGUACCUGAAGAAUAAGCACCGGCUAACUACGUGCCAGCCGCCGCCGUAAUAC